GAGGUUAGAGAGGGUGCCAUGGUCCUGGUCACACAUGAUCCAAGCCGGCAGAGUUGCCAAGGCUCCGACUCGGCGUCCCUCAUUGCAUCUGUCCG
rnacentral:sRNA from 1 species